UACGUAGGGUGCGAGCGUUGUCCGGAAUUAUUGGGCGUAAAGAGCUCGUAGGCGGUCUGUCGCGUCUGCUGUGAAAACCCGAGGCUCAACCUCCGGCCUGCAGUGGGUACGGGCAGACUAGAGUGCGGUAGGGGAGAUUGGAAUUCCUGGUGUAGCGGUGGAAUGCGCAGAUAUCAGGAGGAACACCGGUGGCGAAGGCGGGUCUCUGGGCAGUAACUGACGCUGAGGAGCGAAGGCGUGGGGAGCGAACAGG
rnacentral:rRNA from 1 species